UACAGAGGUCUCAAGCGUUGUUCGGAUUCAUUGGGCGUAAAGGGUGCGUAGGCGGCGUGGUAAGUCGGGUGUGAAAUCUCGGAGCUUAACUCCGAAACUGCAUUCGAUACUGCCGUGCUUGAGGACUGGAGAGGAGACUGGAAUUUACGGUGUAGCGGUGAAAUGCGUAGAUAUCGUAAGGAAGACCAGUGGCGAAGGCGGGUCUCUGGGCCGUAACUGACGCUGAGGAGCGAAAGCGUGGGGAGCGAACAGG
rnacentral:rRNA from 1 species